rnacentral:rRNA from 1 species
CCUACGGGAGGCAGCAGUGGGGAAUAUUGGACAAUGGGGGCAACCCUGAUCCAGCCAUGCCGCGUGUGUGAAGAAGGCCCUCGGGUUGUAAAGCACUUUCAGUGAGGAAGAACGCCUGGUGGUUAAUACCCAUCAGGAAAGACAUCACUCACAGAAGAAGCACCGGCUAACUCCGUGCCAGCAGCCGCGGUAAUACGGAGGGUGCGAGCGUUAAUCGGAAUUACUGGGCGUAAAGCGCGCGUAGGUGGCUUGAUAAGCCGGUUGUGAAAGCCCCGGGCUCAACCUGGGAACGGCAUCCGGAACUGUCAAGCUAGAGUGCAGGAGAGGAAGGGAGAAUUCCCGGUGUAGCGGUGAAAUGCGUAGAGAUCGGGAGGAAUACCAGUGGCGAAGGCGGCCUUCUGGACUGACACUGACACUGAGGUGCGAAAGCGUGGGUAGCAAACAGGAUUAGAUACCCGAGUAGUC